ACUAACAAGGAUUCCCCUAGUAACUGCGAGUGAAGCGGGAAAAGCUCAAAUUUAAAAUCUGGUGGCCUCUGGUCGCCCGAGUUGUAAUUUAGAGAAGCGUCUUCCGCGCUGGACCGUGCACAAGUCUCCUGGAAUGGAGCGUCAUAGAGGGUGAGAAUCCCGUCUUUGGCACGGACGCACCAGGGCUUUCGUGAUGCGCUCUCGAAGAGUCGAGUUGUUUGGGAAUGCAGCUCAAAAUGGGUGGUGAACUCCAUCUAAAGCUAAAUAUUGGCGAGAGACCGAUAGCGAACAAGUACCGUGAGGGAAAGAUGAAAAGCACUUUGGAAAGAGAGUGAAACAGUACGUGAAAUUGUUGAAAGGGAAACGCUUGAAGUCAGUCGCGUCGACCGAGACUCAGCCUCGCCUUGGCUUGGCGCGCUUCUCGGCUGACGGGUCAGCGUCGAUUUUGCCCCUCGGAUAAUGGCAAGGGAAAGGUAGCACCUUUACGGGUGUGUUAUAGUCUCCUGUCGCAUGCGAGGGUCGGGAUCGAGGAACUCAGCACGCGCCUCUCGGCGUCGGGGCUUCGGCCCACGCUACGUGCUUAGGAUGCUGGCGUAAUGGCUUUAAACGACCCGUCUUGAAACACGGACCAAGGAGUCUAACAUGCCCGCGAGUGUUCGGGUGGAAAACCCGUGCGCGUAAUGAAAGUGAAAGUUGGGACCUCUGUCGUGGGGGGC
rnacentral:rRNA from 1 species